rnacentral:tRNA from 1 species
GCCGAAGUGGUGGAACUGGCAGACACACCAUCUUGAGGGGGUGGCGCCGUGAGGCGUGCGGGUUCGAAUCCCGCCUUCGGCACCA